rnacentral:rRNA from 1 species
GAUGAACGCUGGCGGCGUGCCUAAUACAUGCAAGUCGAGCGAACAGACGAGGAGCUUGCUCCUCUGUCGUUAGCGGCGGACGGGUGAGUAACACGUGGAUAACCUACCUAUAAGACUGGGAUAACUUCGAGAAACCGGCGCUAAUACCGGAUAAUAUAUUGAACCGCAUGGUUCAAUAUUGAAAGACGGUUUUGCUUUCACUUAUAGAUGGAUCCGCGCCGACUUAGCUAGUUGGUAGGGUAACGGCUUACCAAGGGAACGAUGCGUUGACGACCGGAUAGGGGGGUCGGCCACACUGGAACUGAGACGCGGACCAGAGUCCUACGGGAGGCAGCAGUAGGGAAUCUGACGCAAUGGGCGAAAGCUUGACGGAGCAACGCCGCGUGAGUGAUGAAGGUCUUCGGAGCGUAAAACUCUGUUAUUAGGGAAGAACAAAUGUGUAAGUAACUAUGCACGUCUUGACGGUACCUAAUCAGAAAGCCACGGCUAACUACGUG